rnacentral:rRNA from 1 species
UGCCGGUGACAAACCGGAGGAAGGUGGGGAUGACGUCAAGUCCUCAUGGCCCUUAUGGGUAGGGCUUCACACGUCAUACAAUGGUCGGUACAGAGGGUUGCCAAGCCGCGAGGUGGAGCUAAUCUCUUAAAGCCGAUCGUAGUCCGGAUCGUAGUCUGCAACUCGACUACGUGAAGUCGGAAUCGCUAGUAAUCGCAGAUCAGCAUGCUGCGGUGAAUACGUUCCCGGGUCUUGUACACACCGCCCGUCACACCAUGGGAGUGGGUUUCACCAGAAGUAGGUAGCUUAACCUUCGGGGGGGCGCUUACCACGGUGAGAUUCAUGACUGGGGUGAAGUCGUAACAAGGUAGCCGUAUCGGAAGGUGCGGCUGGAUCACCUCCUUUCAAG